UGCUAGUGGGCUAGGAUCGACCUACUUUAG
rnacentral:piRNA from 1 species